UGAUCUGGGGCCGAGGAAUGUGGUGUUUGGGAGGACCAUGACCGCCUGUCCGGCUUUCGUCCAAGUCUCCAUGAACGGGGCGAGCAACCCAGAGAGGGUGUCAGGCCCGUGGUAUUGGCGAGUCGCGACCGUGGUAGAGGUCUCUCCUUGGAGUCGGGUUGCUUGAGAGUGCAGCUCUAAGCGGGAGGUAAACUCCUUCUAAGGCUAAAUACGGCCACGAGACCGAUAGCGAACAAGUACCGCGAGGGAAAGUUGAAAAGAACUUUGAAGAGAGAGUUCAAGAGUGCGUGAAACCGUUCGGAGGGUAAAACGGGUGGGCGCUCGAAGAUCGAACGAUCCUUACUCCCGCCAUCUGCACGCCAGUCUCCCGCAGAUCCAUCAAGUGUGCCCACGCCUUCACGGGCGCGAGUUUGCCACUGGUCUGUGGGAGUUCACUGGCGGCCGUGCAGGGGCCGCAAGUUUGGGAUCCAGUAGGACUCCGCAACCGUCUGGAUAGACGUCAAAAGGAACCUUCUUGAGUUUUCCACGGCUUGUUGUCAUUCCGUUUUUACGGCGGUUGGSUCCAAGCGGGGAGUGUUUCCCGACRUUCUAAGUUCCGGCCGUUAUCACCUGUUAGGAGGCGUCUCGAUUCGCAAGGAUCGUGUAUCA
rnacentral:rRNA from 1 species